rnacentral:rRNA from 1 species
CAGCCGCCGCGGGAAUACGGAGGAUCCAAGCGUUAUCCGGAUUUAUUGGGUUUAAAGGGUGCGUAGGUGGCUUAUUAAGUCAGGGGUGAAAGACGGUAGCUUAACUAUCGCAGUGCCUUUGAUACUGAUGAGCUUGAAUGAACUAGAGGUAGGCGGAAUGUGACAAGUAGCGGUGAAAUGCAUAGAUAUGUCACAGAACACCAAUUGCGAAGGCAGCUUACUAUGGUUUUAUUGACACUGAGGCACGAAAGCGUGGGGAUCAAACAGGAUUAGAUACCCCGGUAGUCCCUGUCUCUUAUAC